GCUGAGGGUUCCAAAAGCUUCAAAAUCUCCUUAUAAAUACUGGGGUUUUCCUGCACAUUUAACUGAUUUUUUUUUUUCUUUGAAAUUAGGGCAUGUUCACCAGGCCAUGCACAAAACAAGUAUGAAAAUGAUGGAUAUUUCAAAUGAAAAUACAAGGAGUGUUGCCUCAGGGUGGAAGUGGUGCCCUGAAUGCUGUUUUGGACAGUUCCUGCUCGCUCUCCAUGGAGGAUUUUGGCUGCUGUGCUGAAGAGUACAGAACAGGACAAUUUAAAUCAAGCCAUCCCUCCCCUUUCUUGGCUUGGAUUUGGCUGUGUCAGUCCUCACUUUUCAAGGGGGGCAGAAACCCAACCCGUGGGUUUUGUGCCUUUCUAAACCUUUCUUGGUGUGGUGAUUUCACAUGGGAGCAGGAAUUGCUGCUGCACAGGGAAGGUUGUUGUGGCCUUGCCUGUCAGAGUGUGGGGGUUUGCUGGCAAUAAUUCCUGUUCCAGGCCAAAAAAAGCGCUCACGUAAGUCAGCUCAGAUGGUUCCUCCUUUCCCUCCUUUCCCACAACUUAUUUUUGGGUGCUAAAGUUGUCACUACCAGUUGGAUGGGACAACACAGGCUUUGCAUUUUCCUUGUGCUGUGGCAGGAGAAGCAAUUUCCAUAAAUUUUACUGGGAUUUGCUUGGAAAUGUAUUCAGUGCCAGCUGGUGAAGGAGAGGUUUGGGAGGGACGUGGGUGGGCUGAUGUGUGUCCACCUUUGGCCCUGUGGGCUGUGCAGCAAACAACCAGAUCUCCCUGCCCCGGAGCCCUGAGAGCCUGGUGUCUCUUCAGUUCCUGCUGAUAUUUAUUUUUGGCAAACAGUCUCAGCACCGAGCUCAGCUUUCUGUGCUCAGGGAUGACCUCGAGCAGCUCUGAGGAUCAAAAAUGUGAGAAAAGAAGCUACAAAUGCAACAGAGCUCACCAAACCUCUGCAGGGCACCCCGUGAGCACCGUGGCACUGAGACACCAUAAAAAUAUUAUUAAAAAUCUUAUAAAAAUAGGCAUGUUAAUAAGGGAGAGAAGUUGCCAAGGACUGGGGAGCAGCAGUAUCUCAAAGCCACAGCUGGGAGUUGCACAAAGCUUUUUUCUUGCUCAACAGGCAGAGUGAAAUAAAUUUAUUUUAUUAAUGGAAAUCUGGUUUUCCAAGAAGAGAGCUCAGAAGGCAGAGGGCAAGAAAAGGGAAUGGUCAACUUAAGUUCUUAAUGCAUGGCAUUUUAAACUCCUUCCUUUUUACAAAUGUUUAAUUCAUCACUGAAUAUUCCUUCUUUUAGUGCUGCUGAAACGGAGUCAGAAAUAAGAAAUCCUCCAAGACCUUGGUCCGUGCAGUCACAAAUGUUCCACAUGAUUUGUGUUGAAAUCUUCAGUGCUGGACAACUCUGUACAUUUAAUAUUGAACUCCUGAUUUUCCAGCUUGUUUCCUACCUGCACAGUGGGUUUAUGUGUCAGUCCAGUCUUCCCACACUGGGUCUAAGUUUAUCCAGUUAAUUUGCUCAAAGCCAAGUGUUGAAUGUCUAGAUAAGCCUUGUUAUUAAUUAAAUCCCUUCCCUCCAUAUUGCUGCUCAUAAAGUGAAUUUAACAUUAAAAUAAGGACCAUCUUAUUUUUGUCCCAGGAGCUCUCAGUGGUUUCCAGAGCUUCUCCUGUAUGUGCAGUCUCCUGUCAGUGUGGAGCCAAUUAAAGCACAAUUAACCCAUUUAUCUGAGGGGCUCAAACACAGGCCUGGUGUGGAACCCAAAUGUUGGGCUGGAAGCAGCUGGUGAUGUGAAGGGAAGAGGGGAGAGGAGUGUUGGGCGAGGGAAAGAAAUGGAAAUAACAUUGUUCAGUAAGAUGUGAAUGAAUUUCAGGUGAUGUUUACCAUGUUUGCCAUGACUGGCUCUGGCUCUGGUUUCCAACUUCCAAGCAAACAUCCAACAAUUCUGCUGGCCCAUCCCUUGUGGAUGCUUGCUGUAAAACUGCUGUCCCAGCUUUAACACCCCAAAGCUCUUUGCUAAGUGGAGAAUUGUUCUCAGGCUGAGGAAUUAAUAGCAAAGUUUCCCUGACAGAAAGAGCCAGGCAUUCAUCCCACAGCAAUUGUUCCCAGAACUGGCAAAUACAAAUUAAAGCACUUUGCUGCUGCAUUUCUUUUUUUCUGUGAAGGUCUUUAUUUAUUACAUUUGCUGUUUAGGUUUGCAGUCUCAGCCCUAUAUACAGUUACACACAAAUUACACAUGAAAACAAAAUGUGGCUGGAGACAAGAACGAAUGCUAUCACUGAAAGAAAUGAUUGCUUUCAGAAAUAUAGCCAAACCUACCUCGUUCUCUUGUCUAAAAACUGAGUUUUGCUCCUCAGGACCUUUGUCAGACUGAGCAAAAAGAUGUUCUGGCAUUAACUCUUUUGUGCUGAGGGUUUUUCCUGUUCUUCAGGGAAGGAAGAAGCUGCACCUGAGCAUCCCCAGGGGUGCACACGUGCCAGGGCCAGCACUGGUGUGUGAAGAACCAUCCCCAGUGUCUGAGGAGGGCACAGGGACACUCUCACCGUUAAUAAAGGGUUCUCUGGAAAGCUCUCCAACACAGCUGGAGUGCCAAAAUGACUUCAAGUGCUCACAAACUCCACUUAUGGGGCUGCAACUCAGCUGAGAGCAAGAGCUCCUGCUUUCUCCACAGAACGUGGGAGUUGUUCGAUCCCACAGCUUUCAGUGACUUCGGAGUAAAAGGAAAGGUAUUUCAAAGGAAGUAAAACACUUUCACCAGUGACAAACUUCCCCCAAGGUCUGAUUGAUGGUUGGAGUGAGCUCUGUAGAGCAGAGCUCCUUGAGGUGUGUGCUGGCUGAGGGGAGAGGGGAGCAGCCGAGCUUGGCUCACAAAUCUCUCCUUGCUGCUGCCUUCUGUUGAACUUCAGUGUGUGCUGGUGUGUAAUGGACAGAGAAAAACACAUCUGAAAGCAGCAAACGUGAAAGGUAAGGAUGCACUGAAAUAACACCAGAUGGACACUGUGCAGGAGGAGGAGACCCCUGAGCCAGAGACUGAGUCACUCGAGGGUCAAACUGAGCAACCCACAGGAGUUCAACACUCUGCAUUGCUGUUCUUCAGUGACAGAGGUAUUUGUUUCAUUUAGUAACAAUUAAAUGAGCUUUUCUAGUUUUUGUAGGAGUCAGUUUUUCAGGCCUUUUAAAUUAAUGUGUAUUUGUUUAAAAGUGCCAAAGCCUGGGAAGGAUCUGGCAGUGCCAAACCACUUUUAUUUCCCUAGCUCGAGGUGUAGAGAGCCUGUCUGCCCUGGUUAGGCUGAUCUGCCCAGGAACCUGAAUUUAGCUGACACACAGAUGACACCCCCAGCCAGCUCUUCCCUUCCCCAGAGUUAUUCCCAUCUGUUUCUGAGGAGAGGAAAAGCAAUUCAGGUGCUGGGUUGGUUUUGUUGCUGUUUUGUUCAGGAGAGAGCAGGCUCUGCUUCCUGCAGGUGCAACCUUCAUCCACCAAAGCAGAUUGAUUUUUUAUUUUAAUGUGGGGCUAGAGGGAUUUCAUCCCUGUAGGUGUGGGAGCAGGACCUGCACAGGGUUCCAUCUUCCCUUGCUGGAAAUUCUUCAUGGAUAUCCAGGUUCAGGGCACGUGGAUGGUGGCUUGGCCACAUCUGGACGUGUCACCUCCACCUGCUCAGGGCUGAGGGGCAUCAGGUGGUCAUGGGCUUAGCAAAACCACAAAAUAGCCCAAAAUCAAGGGAUUUCCAGGGGCCCUGCAGCAGCCAGCUCCCCCUGUCCCCUGCACAACUCAGGGUGAGGAUGGGGAGAGGCUUGGGAACAUCUCACUGAAAUUCCUCUCUCCUGAUGCCCAAAUUUGCAGCACAGGGAAAAUCACAGCCUUUAUGCAGUACUGGAGAAAAUAAGCAGAACUUUCCAUCCCUAAACUGUUAGAGUUGAAAAUCCUGGAAAUGCUUCAUACACUUAAAAAAUCCAGGGCUCCAUUUCUGUAUUUUUCUGAUUGUUGCUGCACUUUCAGAAGCUCUCAUUUCACACGUGGAAAUUGGUGAUGAGCAGAUUAAGGGAUUUCCUACCACCUGUGGAGUUAAUAGAAAGAGCAGAUGCUGGUAAUGCUGGACAGAGAAUUCUAGCUUGGAAUUCAGGCUUCUUUCAUUUGCACAUUUCUGAGAAAUGGAAUAUAUGUGGCUCCUAAUGAUCUAAGUUAUUAGGAAAAGAAAGCUUUAAGGGAUCUGGCCCCGAGACUGUGUCCUAUUAAUUCUAAAUGUAAAAUAAUUUCUCUGAUGACAAUGGAAAACUGCACAGUAAUUACAGUGGCCCAAGAGGAGAAAUUACUGUGCAGUCUCAAGUUAUCAAACAGCUCCAACCUUUUUUAAUAUCACAGACAUACUUAGGCUUCAUGCAAGAAAAGCAAAGUACCCCAAGGUAGUCUAAUUUCAUCUCCCAGCAAACAGAAAUCUUUUUUUUUCUGUGAAUGCAAAUCACAUUUUUAUUACAGCAAAGAGCAACGAGUCCUUUUUUUUUUUUUUCCUUUUAGCUCAUUGGAAACACAGCUGAUGUAAUUGGACAAUUGAUGUAAUUGCAAAUGCAACUGCAGUAAUUGCACAUGCAAAUAAGGGAUUGUUCGCAGGGCUAUAAAACUGGUGGGAGCAGGUACAAUGUACUCCUGCAUUGCCUGGCUCAUAAUUGGAUGGGUGUUUUGCACCAAGGCUUUAAUGCAGCUCCUUCCUCCUUAUUUAUCUGGGAACAGCUCCCUUCCCUAAAUAUGAAAUAUCCUUUACACAGCAAGCAAUAAAAAUAAUGGGUUCCCCAUAAUACUCAGGGCUGGGAACGCAUUAUUUCUAAACUGUGGUGCCUUUUACUUUAUGGAGAGUGAAAUAAACACUUACUGGAGAUAAAAGCUGCUCUGAGCUCCACAGCCACCAGGAGCCCCCGGAGCGUUUGCUGGCUCCACUGCAGGGGGAGGGGAGCGUGGCAGGCAAUGGUUUGUGGUGGUUUUUUCAAACCUGUUGGUGCUAAUGAUAACAUUUUAAAUGUAAUAACUUUUCCUCUCACUCCUUAUCUUGGCAGUUUCCUUGGCAUCAGCAGCUGCUCUGUGCUGAAAUCCUCCUCUGCGUGUGAGGAAAGCCAGGAGUUAGUGCAGCCCCAGUGUGCCCAGCACAGCUCUGUGCCCAGAAGGGAGCUGGGCACACUCAGCUCAUUCCCUGGGCUGGGAAAACACCUCUUCUCCUUGUUUUCCCCUCCUUUUUUACCCCCUGACUGCAGUGCAGGUAGCAGCAGAGUGUUCCAACAGCACCAGGCUUUAAGGGAACUGGUGGAGCCAGGUCCAGGUAAAAUGAGUUUAAUACAUUGAAUUUAUUACUUUCAUUGUGUUGUUCCAGAGUAGGACUGCACACAAGCUCCACAUCUGCUGUGAAAGAAAACUUUGAGUUUAUGAGGCAAGCAAAACCUCAGGCUGGGAUAUCAUUGUUGGUAAAUCCAGUGGCACUACAGGGAUCAGGUAAAGAUCCCAGUGAUGCCCCCUGACAUUUGAGAGGGCCAGGAAACAUCCUGUGUGUGUGGCAGGAAGGGAAAUGAGGGAGAGCAGGGCCAUGUGGGGACCAGCAGAGAUCAAUUGCAGUGUACAGGAAAUGCUUUUCCCUACAAUCCCAGAAACAUCUCCUCCAAUUCAUAUUUAGAGCUCGAGGGAUCCCCAGGAGGAGCUGUGACAUCUUAUUUCCCACAGUGUGCUGGGCCAAGAAAGGAGCAGGAAAAAUACCUUCCCAUUCACUUAAUUAUGGCCCAAGGAAUAAAUUAUUCAAAUUAAGCCAGCAUUUCUAUCCUGGUGUGGCCACUCUGCAUCCAGAAUAGCUCCAGGACUGACCCAGGGGUGAUGUGAGCCCCCUUUUUCCUCUCUGUGAGGCCAAUUCCUGUAUUUGUCCACGUUCCUGCCUCAAGCUCCACAUUCCUCAUCCCUCUCUGAACACUGGAGUGACUCUCGGGACAAUGGUAGUGAAGAGAGAGUUGGAUUCCCAAAGGCUGUGCUUGCUCCUGAAUCCCUCCCUGGCAGGGUGGUGCUGUAUGGAAAAAUUCAUGGGUUCUUGCUCUGAUGAAGAAUUGGUGGCCUGGCACUGCCAGUCUGGGUUGCUCAGACUUUUCCUCAGUGCAGUCUGGCAAUUCCUGUUCCAAAGCUGGUUCUGUGCAAGCCCAGAGCCCUGAGGCUCACCCUGCACAGAAGGGCUGUGGUCUGCAGGGAUAAAACCCUGGGAAUGACCUGGGUCAGGUGGGCAGCUCCAGCUCUGGCCUCCAGCAGUGCUCUGUGCGUGUCUGGGCAAGGGAAGGGCUGUGGCACUGCCUGAAUUACAUUUGAGAGCAGGAUUAUUUGCAGGUUCUUGCUCUGUUUGAGCUCCCUGGGAAGGCCCUGCUGAGCUUUGUUGAACAAACACUUCUGUGAGAUGGGAACUUGAUCUUCACAUGACAUUUAUAGCUUGAUAGGAAGAACCUCUGGCUUAAUCUGUUCCACUGAGAGAUGGGGAUUUCUUUUAUUUAUCAACCCCAAGUGCUGCUUUGGGGUUAGCUCUUCAGCUGAUGUGCUCCAGCAUGGGAGAGUGUCAGAUCUGGUGGAGAAAUUGCAGUGUAACUAAAGGCUUUAUGCUUCCCUCAUUUCACCUGCUCUCAUUUUCUCUGUCUUAAUUCCAAUGAAAGACAAUGUGGUUUACCUUGGAUCGUGUUUAUUCUCAGAGUGAGAGCUUCCACUGCUCAGCCACACUGUCCAUGGACUGGGAAUGCCACUCCUCUGGAGCCAGGGCAUCCUCACACUCCUGCUGGGCAGGUGAGCUCGUUUUGCCUCAGUGCCACAAUGGCUUGGGUUGGAGGAGACCC